ensembl:ncRNA lncRNA:CR45480 long non-coding RNA:CR45480
ACCCCUAUCCCCCUCUUUGUUAGCCUACGCUUUCUGCUGAGUUUGUUAUUUUUGUCUGCUCCCCACAAGGAUAUUGUUACAGAGAAAAAGCUCGAAUUGAAGGGAAAAUGGAGACAAAUAAGAAAACCCAUGACAAAGAGGAAAGUUUCAAAUAUGGGCAAUCGAAAAAAUCGAGAAGUGAGCCAAUUUUUUUUUCGCCGAGGCUCCACUGUUCCCAGCUGCAUAACUGUUUUCCCUCGGCACCUCUCUUUUGCUCUCCUCCACCACCUUUUCCUCCUGCUUCCCACCACCCCUUCUUUCACUGACCGAAGUCUGCGUUUUCAGCAUUGCAUACACACACACACUCGGACACACACACAUUGGCACUUUUAAUCAUUUAUCAAUAUUUAAGCGACUAAGGCGAAAAACUAACUGUGCACAGAGGGAGCCCCAAGAACAAAUCCUUUGUUUGCACGGAACACGGAGCACAAAUAGAGGCACAGAUACACGGAAAAACGGCCGCAGAAAGCACC